GUCCCGCGGCGAAAUGUCUCCGCGGCGAAAAGUCGUGCGUCGAAUUUAAUUGCGGCGAAAUGUCACACUCCCAAAUGUCCGGGUGCGUUUUUAUUCAAUAAUCCAUUUUUUUCGGAGGUAAUUUUUGGGAAAUACACACCCCUACAGUUAAGUUAUGCACUUUGUACUUUUUGAGAAUGAUUAUUGUGUUAGUUUACUCCAUGGCAAUUUGUUUAUUUUAUUGUAAUUUAUUUACUUGCUUUAUUAUAUUUUCUUUACUGGGUAAAGGAAAACGUUACCAACGCAAUUGUUGACAAUUUUUGCCUGCGUUAAUCAUUUUCUCGACGGACAAAAUAAAAUUCUCUAGAUCCGGUUUCGUGCAUGCUGGCACACCAUAUCAUUUCUUUUUCACGCAUGCUCAUUAGCAUGCUCAAAAUCGAACCCAUGCCGCAUGCUUAAUAGGGAGCUCUUCAGAGCGAUAUUGGAAUCAGAUCGUCAAUUAGUUCUUGACUGUUCAAUUAGUUCUGCAUGCUGAUUUCCAAGUACGUAGUUGCAUUUCUUGCGAAUAUCUUGUGUGGAUGAUGGGUUCCGUAAAGUCGUUGGGUUUGUGUGACGCAUGCGAGCGCAAAGUGCAUGAGAGAACAGGUGAGAUGAGAAACCAAAUUAAGGGGGAACUUGCUGUGUUUUCAACGGUUCGCUGUGUGCUGUGAAUAAGUGGAAAUCUGAUCUGCUUUUUUGGCAGCCUGCUUACAGAAAGUCCUAAUGUUUUCCCCGCAUCCGUGUGUUUGUUGGGCUCACCCGGACCACCACCGAGCCUACCACACCCAGUCCCAAUCCGGCCACCAUUCCCCGGAUGAUCCGUUGCACUUCUCCCACCACUCGUCGCCCUCUAACGGCACUGGAAUUGCAACGCACAGCACCGGUCCGAUGUCGCAAGCGGUGGUGUCCUCCACGACGCCAUCGCGCUCCCUCAAACAGGAGACCGACGGGAAUUUCGUCAUGGUGAAGCAGGAGCCGCAUAUGGAACUUCCACCACGCCGCCGUCGGUGUGGCAAACGGGAGCUGUGGGCAAACGGAUAAAGUCGGCGACACCAAGACGGUGCUGCUGUCGGCCGCCCAAGCAGGUCACUACCAAACUCCCGUUCCCGCGCCCAUGGUUUAUGGUUACGGGUUUGGGAGCCCGACUAAUGGAUUUUUUAGGGAUCGGACGGAGCAGAUGAUUGGGGAAAGGCACCGGCAGGCCUGUGGUUUUGCGGGGAACACUGUCAAUCAUACCGUGGCGGAACGUAGACCCAUGGGGAUCUGCCGUGUCCGGAUAGUGGACUCGGCGACGCACUGGCAUCCAGAGAGCACGCCGUUCAACAGUUGUCCGAAUUCCCGCAGCCAGGCUUUAUUCAAACGUCCGACUCGUACGUGCUUUGUUUUGGCGAUGUUAUGACCACAAACACCGUGCCGCCAGAUCCAGAGUCAACACCCGACGCUUUCGGGGAAAGGGAAUUCCAGCUGCUCAAAAAGGAAGAGACAGAGUCUGAUGCGGAGCCGGUCGACGGGAACCAAGAGGCAUUAAUUGACUUGGCCAAGGCCUUCAAACGGGCACGAAGCUACAGGGCCAAGAAGCGGAAACGAGCUGUGGGUCAAAUGAUUAAACCGUGUCCUAUUUGUGGGCACCCUAAGGACGUUCGCUAAUGGAAGUAACUCAUCCGCCGUAACCACCCACAGAUCCAACAGGAUUCUCGAGAUGUAACAUAUAUUAAUUUUUCUGUUUUUUUGCGGAAUGCAACACAGCAUGUUUAAUUGUGUGUUCGGUCAGGGUCAUUUGUUGCUUUUUUUCUAUGAAGUGUAAUUAACGUUCUCGCUGUGUUCAACGAACGACAUCUCGUCUUAUUGGUGCUGCUUUCGACCUCAACUGCGAAUUAAUUUUACUUUACCCUUCCAAUGG